UACGAAGGGGGCUAGCGUUGUUCGGAAUCACUGGGCGUAAAGGGCGCGUAGGCGGCUGUUCAAGUCGGGGGUGAAAGCCUGUGGCUCAACCACAGAAUUGCCUUCGAUACUGGACGGCUAGAGUCCGGAAGAGGAGAGUGGAAUUCCUGGUGUAGCGGUGAAAUGCGCAGAUAUCAGGAAGAACACCCGUGGCGAAGGCGGCUCUCUGGGACGGUACUGACGCUGAGACGCGAAAGCGUGGGGAGCGAACAGG
rnacentral:rRNA from 1 species